AUGGCUUCCGCCUCGCCGUCGUGGGUCAUCCUGGGCAGCGUGCCGCGGGUGUCGGCCGCCGACGCCGACCUCCCCCAGGGCGCCGACCUCUCCCUCGCGCUGCCGGCGGCCCCCCGCGUCGCGCUCCUCACCAUCCCCCCGCGCAUCUUCCCGGGCCGCACCACCUCCAGAAGCUUCCCGUCCGUCCUCGCCGUCGACGCCUCCGGCCUCCUCCUCCUCCACGCCGACCAAGGCCCCGCCAAGGGCCCCACCGUCAUCGACCUCCCCAGCCGCCGCGAGUUCUUAUGGCUCCCGACCGUCGCGGGCUACUUCCUCCUCGACGCCAAAUCCGCCUCCGCGCUCCCGCUCCCCAACCCCGAGUACGUCAUGCACCCGGGCCACCUCGGCCUCAUCGCCUCCCCCGCCGACGCCGGCCACUACAUGGUCGCUGAGCUCCAGAUGAUCCUCGGCGGCGACCGUGCCGACCUCCUCUGCUUCUCCUCCGAAGCCGGGGAAUGGGUCACCAAGGACGUCCGCUACCCGCUUCCAUCCCGCCCCUUGAGCCCCAACGGCGUGGUCUCGCACUCCGGGAGGCUCUGGUGGGUCGACCUCUCCUGGUGCCUCCUCACGUGCGACCCCUUCGCCGACGCGCCGGUGCUCAGGGUCGUCCCGCUUCCGGAGGGCAAGGCGCUCAAGUCCAAGGAAGCUUGGGGACUGCUCGACAAGUACCGCUGCGUGGCUGUCAGCGGCGCCAAGCUGCGGUUCGUGGAUAUGUACAGGAACCUUAACAGCGGCGGCUCUGUUCAGAUCAGCGUCUGGACGCUCGCUGAUCCGGACUCCACGGAGUGGACGCUGGAGUCUGAGGCCACCUUUGCGGAGAUCUGGGACGACGCGAGCUACAAGGCGACUGGCCUGCCAAGGAAGAUCCCCGUGCUUGCGCUCAUCCAUCCUACGAACCCCGACGUGGUCUACUUCUUUCUGGACGAGCACCUGUUCGGCGUGGACGUGCGUGCUCGCAAGGUUGUGGAGUGUGAGGUCUACGAGCUGGUUCAGCCACCUAGGGAACACGUCACCACCCGUUUCGUUCACGCUUGGCAGCUGCCACAAGCUCUCUGCUCAGGUUCUGCAAAGGAGACUGAAGAUGGCGUGAAAGAAGAGCUGCAGCAACUCCAGCUGUGA
rnacentral:rRNA from 1 species